CAAUGCUGAGACCAAGGUGUCUUUAUUGAGACAGGGAGAGGUAGAGGUCAUGUGAUGUAAUUACACAGGCCGAUGCUGCAGGGAUGUAGAGGUCAUGUGAUGUAAUUACACAGGCCGAUGCUGCAGGGAUGUAAUGAGGUGGUGUAAUUACACAGGCCGAUGCUGCAGGGAUGUAGAGGUCAUUUGAAGCAGCCUUUCUUCCAUCGCGUGUUUGGAACAAUGACAAAGACAUCGGCAACUUUGUAUUCUGUCGUCAACUCCGCUCUGAAGUGACCUGGCGGGCACCGUCAGGCAGAGAUCAACAUCUUGAUGUAUGUUCAGUGAGAUCUGAGUUUACAGUGUACAACAUCUAGCACUUAGCUGACAUUUGUUUG